CCUACGGGGGGCUGCAGUGGGGAAUAUUGGACAAUGGGCGAAAGCCUGAUCCAGUCAUGCCGCGUGUGUGAAGAAGGCCUUCGGGUUGUAAAGCACUUUCAGUGGGGAAGAAAGCCUUGGGGCUAAUACCCUCGAGGAAGGACAUCACCCACAGAAGAAGCACCGGCUAACUCCGUGCCAGCAGCCGCGGUAAUACGGAGGGUGCGAGCGUUAAUCGGAAUUACUGGGCGUAAAGCGCGCGUAGGCGGUCUGAUAAGCCGGUUGUGAAAGCCCCGGGCUCAACCUGGGAACGGCAUCCGGAACUGUCAGGCUAGAGUGCAGGAGAGGAAGGUAGAAUUCCCGGUGUAGCGGUGAAAUGCGUAGAGAUCGGGAGGAAUACCAGUGGCGAAGGCGGCCUUCUGGACUGACACUGACGCUGAGGUGCGAAAGCGUGGGUAGCAAACAGGAUUAGAUACCCGAGUAGUC
rnacentral:rRNA from 1 species